AGUCGACGAACUUCUUUAUCACCGAGUGCUUGCACUCACCGAUAAAGAGUUGAGUGGCGAACGGUGAGUAACACGUGGGCAACCUGCCCAAAAGAGGGGGAUAACACUUGGAAACAGGUGCUAAUACCGCAUAACCAUAGUUACCGCAUGGUAACUAUGUAAAAGGUGGCUAUGCUACCGCUUUUGGAUGGGCCCGCGACGCAUUAGCUAGUUGGUGGGGUAAGGGCUUACCAAGGCAAUGAUGCGUAGCCGAACUGAGAGGUUGAUCGGCCACAUUGGGACUGAGACACGGCCCAAACUCCUACGGGAGGCAGCAGUAGGGAAUCUUCCACAAUGGGCGAAAGCCUGAUGGAGCAACGCCGCGUGGGUGAAGAAGGUCUUCGGAUCGUAAAACCCUGUUGUUAGAGAAGAAAGUGCGUGAGAGUAACUGUUCACGUUUCGACGGUAUCUAACCAGAAAGCCACGGCUAACUACGUGCCAGCAGCCGCGGUAAUACGUAGGUGGCAAGCGUUAUCCGGAUUUAUUGGGCGUAAAGAGAACGCAGGCGGUCUUUUGAGUCUGAUGUGAAAGCCUUCGGCUUAACCGGAGUAGUGCAUUGGAAACUGGGAGACUUGAGUGCAGAAGAGGAGAGUGGAACUCCAUGUGUAGCGGUGAAAUGCGUAGAUAUAUGGAAGAACACCAGUGGCGAAAGCGGCUCUCUGGUCUGUAACUGACGCUGAGGUUCGAAAGCGUGGGUAGCAAACAGGAUUAGAUACCCUGGUAGUCCACGCCGUAAACGAUGAAUGCUAAGUGUUGG
rnacentral:rRNA from 1 species